rnacentral:rRNA from 1 species
UUAUAUUAAGAGUUUGAUCCUAGCUCAGGAUGAACGCUGGCGGCGUGUCUAAGGCAUGCAAGUCGAGCGACGUGUUCCCCGCAAGGGGAAUUACGAGCGGCAAACGGGUGAGUAACACAUUGGUAACCUACCUCUAAGUCGGGGAUAGCCUGCCGAAAGGCGGAUUAAUACCCGAUAGUAACGCGGGGGCAAAAGUCAUUCGCGUUUAAAGAUUCAUUGCUUAGAGAGGGGCCUAUGUCUGAUUAGCUAGUUGGUGGGGUAAUGGCCCACCAAGGCUAUGAUCAGUAGCAGGCGUGAGAGCGUGACCUGCCUCACUGGGACUGAGAUACUGCCCAGACACCUACGGGUGGCUGCAGUCGAGAAUAUUCCACAAUGGGCGAAAGCCUGAUGGAGCGACGCCGCGUGCAGGAUGAAGGUUUUCGGAUCGUAAACUGCUUUUCUCAGGGAAGAAUUCGUGACGGUACCUGAGGAAUAAGAGGUUGCUAACUCUGUGCCAGCAGCAGCGGUAAUACAGAGACCUCAAGCGUUAUCCGGAUUUACUGGGCGUAAAGCGUCCGUAGGUGGUUUAGCGGGUUAAGAGUUAAAACUUCGUGCUCAACACGAAGGCCGCUCUUAAAACUACUAAACUAGAGAGUGGGAGAGGUAAGCGGAAUUGCAGGUGUAGUCGUAAUAAGCGCUGAUAUCUGCAAGAACACCAAAUGCGAAGGCAGCUUACUAGAACACUUCUGACACUGAGGGACUAAAGCGUGGGGAGCAAACAGGAUUAGAUACCCUGGUAGUCCACGCCCUAAACGAUGCAUACUAGGUAUUGGCAGUAUCGACCCUGUCAGUGCCGUUUAAAAAAGCAAACGCGUUAAGUAUGCCGCCUGGGGAGUACGAGCGCAAGCUUAAAACUCAAAGGAAUAGACGGGGACCCGCACAAGCAGUGGAGCAUGUGGUUUAAUUCGAUGAUAAACGGGGAACCUUACCUGGGCUCAACUACUAGCUGCAGUCGCGCAGAAACGUGCGACGCCUUCGAGGGUGCUAGAUAGGUGCUGCAUGGUUGCCGUCAGCUCGUGCCGUGAGGUGUACCGUUAAGUCGGGAAACGAGCGCAACCCACGUCGUGUGUUAAAUUGUACACGCGAGACUGCCUACGCAAGUAGGAGGAAGGAGUGGACGACGUCAAAUCAGCAUGGCUCUUACGUCCAGGGCUACACACAUGCUACAAUGGCCGGUACAAUGGGUCGCUAAACCGCGAGGUGGAGCUAAUCCCACCAAAACCGGUCUCAGUUCAGAUUGCAGGCUGCAACUCGCCUGCAUGAAGUUGGAAUUGCUAGUAAACGCGUAUCAGCCACGGCGCGUUGAAUACGUUCUCGGGUCUUGUACUCACCGCCCGUCACACCACGGAAGUUGGCAAUGCGCAAUAUCUCCUUUGGGGACGAACGCAGGGUCAAUGACUAGGGUGAAGUCGUAACAAGGCAUCCGUAGCGGAAGCUGUGGAUGGAUCACCUCCUUUCU